GCCUCGAUAGCUCAGUUGGUAGAGCAGCGGAUUGAAAAUCCGCGUGUCCCUGGUUCGAUCCCGGGUCGAGGCACCA
rnacentral:tRNA from 92 species